GGCCGGUUAGCUCAGUUGGCUAGAGCGUGGAGCUGAUAACACCAAGGUACAGGGUUCAAUCCCUUUACUGGCCA